rnacentral:rRNA from 1 species
CCCGCUCAGAAACUUAAAUGAAUUGACGGGGCCCGCACAAGCGGUGGAGCAUGUGGUUUAAUUCGAUGAUACGCGAGGAACCUUACCUGGGCUCAAAUGUAUGUUGACGUAUUCUGAAAGGGAUACUUCUUCGGACAAUAUACAAGGUGCUGCAUGGUUGUCGUCAGCUCGUGCCGUGAGGUGUCGGGUUAAGUCCCAUAACGAGCGCAACCCCUAUCAUUAGUUGCCAUCAGGUCAAGCUGGGGACUCUAAUGAAACUGCCUACGCAAGUAGUGAGGAAGGUGGGGAUGACGUCAAAUCAGCACGGCCCUUACGUCCAGGGCUACACACGUGCUACAAUGGCCGGUACAAAGGGCAGCUACCUGGUGACAGGAUGCUAAUCUCAAAAGCCGGUCUCAGUUCGGAUCGGAGUCUGCAACCCGACUCCGUGAGGCUGGAAUCGCUAGUAAUCGCGCAUCAGCCAUGGCGCGGUGAAUACGUUCCCGGGCCUU